UCUCUCGGCCUCUGUGAGAACAUUCCAAGGUGUAUUCUUGGUUGACCUGUUCGUUAGCGGUAGUAUGCCCGUAUCUGAAACGCCGCACAUAAGAGAGGUGCCAAGUAUGCCUGCCUCGGAGUUACUUGGUGCUCACCGCCCCCAACAGCGUGAAAAAAGUUGGUCCGUGAGGUCUAGAAUAGGGUCUGAAACAGGAUCAGCAUGCAGUAAAUUUAUGGUUAAGUAACCACUCAACUGCAGAAUUGGAAAGACCCUUGAAACCUAUAGAACCCAUUCAACACCUGUUCCAGUGAUGUUCCUAGCAUCUCUUAGUGACUCUUCCGUCGUGUGAACUACCGGGAUGAGACAGAAGACCCCUUCUCUCUUGCUGAUCAGUGUGCCCUAGGGU